rnacentral:sRNA from 2 species
UUCCAUUGUCAUGUUCCGGGUGCUGGUCACGAACGACAUGAUAAUUUAUUUCAAACAAUUUCCAAAUAUCCUUUGUCCAGCCCCUUUUCUUUGGUUUCUAUAUAUCCACAUUCCUCCCAAUCCACGCAUGUGUUAUACCAAAUAUCAGUUAUUACUUGUAUCACCUCCUUUUUCUUGAUGUUUUUUCCUCUUUUCCAUUUUCCAUUACCCUUUCCAUGUUUCUCGAUCAUCAUGUCUUAGCGUAAUCCGCUCACAUUAUAUAAAGCAUAACAAAAAAAUAAAGGAGAUGAUUAUUACGGCAAUGGGUUCUUUCAAUUUCCUCUCCAUUUGCCUAUGAGAGGAUCUGCAAGGGCUCAAGAAAAAAAAUCAGAAAAAAAGGGAGGGGAGGGAUGGGGGUGAGCCUUUCCUUUGUUCCAAAAUUUCUUUUUUUCCCCCCUUUGACUUCUCUGCUAGAUAAUGUCUUGCCAGCUCUGGAAAGGGAAUACAAAUAUUGAAUACUAGUCUCAGCGAAAAAACAGAGGAAGGAAAGAAGUACCUCAAUACAUUAAUUACAUAUAUGUGCACCUAGCAAGGGACAGGUAACAUGGAGAAAUUCUAUUCUAUAUUCAUGACUUCAUAUUAUGUAGUUAGUAGUUGAUGGAUAAUGUGUUCAAAUUUCCAUUCAACGGUUUUGGGCAGUUGCCUCUGUUAUGUAAGAGGGGUAACGCCCCGCUAGGCAAAUACUUAACUAUAGCAUUCCAACUCUCUCUCUUUUUGAUGAAAGAUAGAAAGUAAAAAUGAUAUGAAAAGUUGUUGCUAGGCUGAGUUUUUUCUGUUAUUGCUAUUAAUUAGGCUUUUCGUGCAUCCAAUUGCUGUGGG